rnacentral:rRNA from 1 species
UGAACGCUGGCGGCAGGCCUAACACAUGCAAGUCGAGCGGAUGACGGGAGCUUGCUCCUUGAUUCAGCGGCGGACGGGUGAGUAAUGCCUAGGAAUCUGCCUGGUAGUGGGGGACAACGUUUCGAAAGGAACGCUAAUACCGCAUACGUCCUACGGGAGAAAGCAGGGGACCUUCGGGCCUUGCGCUAUCAGAUGAGCCUAGGUCGGAUUAGCUUGUUGGUGAGGUAAUGGCUCACCAAGGCGACGAUCCGUAACUGGUCUGAGAGGAUGAUCAGUCACACUGGAACUGAGACACGGUCCAGACUCCUACGGGAGGCAGCAGUGGGGAAUAUUGGACAAUGGGCGCAAGCCUGAUCCAGCCAUACCGCGUGGGUGAAGAAGGCCUUCGGGCUGUAAAGCCCUUUGUUGGGAAAGAAAUCCAGCCGGCUAAUACCUGGUUGGGAUGACGGUACCCAAAGAAUAAGCACCGGCUAACUUCGUGCCAGCAG